rnacentral:rRNA from 1 species
GACGAACGCUGGCGGCGUGCCUAAUACAUGCAAGUCGAACGAGAGCGACCGGUGCUUGCACUGGUCAAUCUAGUGGCGAACGGGUGAGUAACACGUGGGUAACCUGCCCAUCAGAGGGGGAUAACAUCCGGAAACGGAUGCUAAAACCGCAUAGGUCUUCGAACCGCAUGGUUUGAAGAGGAAAAGAGGCGCAAGCUUCUGCUGAUGGAUGGACCCGCGGUGCAUUAGCUAGUUGGUGAGGUAACGGCUCACCAAGGCCGUGAUGCAUAGCCGACCUGAGAGGGUGAUCGGCCACAUUGGGACUGAGACACGGCCCAAACUCCUACGGGAGGCAGCAGUAGGGAAUCUUCCGCAAUGGACGCAAGUCUGACGGAGCAACGCCGCGUGAGUGAAGAAGGUUUUCGGAUCGUAAAACUCUGUUGUUAGUGAAGAACAAGUGCUAGAGUAACUGUUAGCGCCUUGACGGUAUCUAACCAGAAAGCCACGGCUAACUACGUG